GUAGGGAAUCUUCCACAAUGGACGCAAGUCUGAUGGAGCAACGCCGCGUGAGUGAAGAAGGGUUUCGGCUCGUAAAGCUCUGUUGUUAAAGAAGAACGUGGGUAAGAGUAACUGUUUACCCAGUGACGGUAUUUAACCAGAAAGCCACGGCUAACUACGUGCCAA
rnacentral:rRNA from 1 species